CUCCCCCUCCCCACUUUCGAAACCUACUGAUUUUUUUGCGCGCGUUCUAAAAUCCAAGUUUCAAAGCGGAAGAUCAAUUUGCAAGUUGCGCUUUGAUGGCACGUUUUCUAUUACGUUUGGCAAGUUACGCAGCGUCAGAGCGCACUGGAACAAACUUUAAACGCUUAACCAGAAGAUUUUUACUCAAUAUUUAUUUUUUAUUUUUAUUUUUAGUAGAAAUCAAUGAAGGUGAGUCACCGCUCGCCUGAGGGGUUCUGCCUGUUUUGAGGGUCUGGAUUGGAAAAGCGACACAAGGGAGGUCGUGAUCAGUGCUGAAGGAUUGCACUAUUGGAUAUCAAGACGGAGCGGGCGCGCGGAUGAGCCAACAUGGGUCAUAUGCUGAAUGAUGGACGAGUGACACACCUCCUCUUUCCACUCCUCCUCCUUUUGCGAGUUCCCUUGUUGUUCAGCUUUGGUGAGCGCAUAUGCCCAAAUAGCUGUCGAUGUGAAGGGAAAACUGUUAAUUGUGAUUCAUCUGGCUUCUUGGAUGUCCCAGAAAACAUUUCAGUUGGGUGCCAGGGCCUCUCCCUGCGCUAUAAUGAACUGCACAGCCUGUUACCAUAUCAGUUCGCUCACCUGGGUCAGCUUCUCUGGAUAUACCUGGAUCACAAUCAGAUUUCAGCAGUCGACAGUCGGGCAUUCCAGGGAGUUCGUAGACUAAAAGAGCUAAUAAUGAGCUCAAACAAGAUCACUUCUCUGCACAAUUCAACAUUCCAUGGAAUUCCCAAUCUUCGCAGUUUAGACCUGUCAUACAACAAGUUGGAAAUCCUGCAGCCGGGACAAUUUCAUGGUUUGCGAAAGUUGCAAAACCUACACCUGCGGUCAAAUGGUCUCUCUAACAUCCCCAUACGAGCAUUCCUUGAGUGCCGAAGUUUGGAGUUUCUGGAUUUGGGCUACAAUCGAAUCAAGGCUCUCACACGCACUACCUUUUUAGGGUUACAGAAACUGAUGGAGUUGCAUCUUGAACACAACCAGUUCACCCGGAUAAACUUUUUUCUGUUUCCUCGUCUUGCUAAUCUUAGAUCACUAUAUCUGCAGUGGAACCGCAUCAAGGUCGUCAAUCAAGGACUUCCAUGGACAUGGUAUACACUGCAGAAACUUGACCUGUCUGGAAAUGAAAUCCAGACCCUGGAUCCAGCUGUGUUCCACUGUUUGCCCAACCUUCAAGUUCUCAACCUGGAAUCCAACAAACUGUCCAAUGUGUCACAGGAGGCAGUGUCCGCAUGGAUCUCACUGACUUCCAUCAGCCUUGCUGGAAACAUAUGGGAUUGUGCCACUGGCAUAUGUCCACUGGUGGCUUGGUUAAGAAAUUUCCGUGGCACCAAAGACACCACUAUGAUUUGCAGCAGCCCAAAGUAUCUCCAAGGAGAAAAGAUUAUGGAAGUUACAAGAAACCAUGGCAUUUGUGAGGAAACCGAUUACGUUCUGACUGAGACGCCCUCACCAAUGUCAGAGCUUUUUUCUGAAGCCACCAAUGAGCCAACAUUUGCCCCCACAAGUGGGUCUCCACUCGCGCCGCGCCACUUUGGACCACACCCACCUUUUAGACCUCAACCUAUUCCUCAUCCUACAUUCCCAGGGCAUAUGAGCAAAGAUCCAAGAGACUCAAUCGCACGUAGUCGGCCAACUCACAUACUCCCCCCAGAGAUGGAACAUAUGACUCUACACAAAGUGGUUGUGGGCAGUGUGGCACUCUUCUUCAGCAUGUCUCUAAUUUUGACCGUUAUCUACGUAUUGUGGCGGCGCUACCCAGGUGCAACCAGAUUGCUCCACCAGCGAUCCAUGGUGGGGCGAAAAUGUCGCAAAAAGAGUCCAGAGCCGGAGCAGGACCUCAGCACCCAGCUGCAAGAGUAUUACAUGAGCUACAACCCUGCUGCCACUCCGGAGGCAUUGGAAGUGCUUGGCAACGGCACUGGCUCCUGCACUUGCACAAUGUCUAGCUCCAGGGAGUGUGAGGUAUGAUCCAUCGCAUCGGCCUAAAACUAGAAAUCUAAUUCAAAAUACAAAGACUCGUCAGAAAGAAUGAGUACACGUGUCGACGCCCACUACCCAGUGCCUGGCUGGGCGAUCUGCCUACCAUCCAUUAGAAGAAACUGCUUUGGAUCGUGCUGGGAACAACAUACUAAUUCAACAUACAAUCUAUAAUUGCAGAGAGAAUUACAUAGAGAAGAGCAUAAGGAUCAAAUUGAAAUGAUUCCCUAAAAAAAACUUACUGGAAAAUUGCGUUGCAAGAAGAAAUGGUUAUGACACCGUCUACUUCUACUAUUAGUUUCUGGUACUGAUGGCCUAAUAUGGGAAAAAAAACAAAAAACUCACAAUGAGUACUGGGAAAUGACUGAUCUCAACCACAAUUGCUUAUCGUCUCUAUGAGGACAACGUGGUUGGUUUCGAGGAUCAAGACUGUACAUAUGCAAAAUUGCUUUAAAAGGUUUACUGAUUAAUAUGCACUCAUCAUUGAGCUUUGACUCCUCCACUGACAGAGUGUGAGUAAUUGAAGUGGAUUUUUAUACCAUUCGAGCAUUAUGACAGACUUUUCUUUCUUCAUGAAAAGACUCAUUCAAGGCUUGGAUGGUGUAUACAGUAUGUGCCUCACAGGAUCUGUUUUUGCACCUGUUGUUAAAGAUUAAUUAGGUUGCAGGUGGUAAGAAGAGAAAAGUCAAAAGAGAGAAGAAUAGCCAGAACUGAGACUAUCCCAAGCCAAUGACUUUUGUUGUUGUGCAUUUGUAAUUUAUUAUUAUGAUUAUUUGUACAUUUUAUUUUUAAUGUGGUUUCGAAUGCCGAUCAGACCCUGUCUCUCUGGCUUGAUAUAAUUGAAAGAAAAUGCAAUCAGAAGUAUAAGUAGUGGAAAAAAGAAAACACUCAUCAUGAAUGAAUUGUACUUUUCUAAGAGUAUAAUGUUAUUAAUGAUGUACUUUAAGGCUAUUUGUUUCUGCCGCUUUUAACCUUAAACACCAAAUGCACUGCUUUUGAUGUUGGCACUCCUAGUCAUGGCUCCAUCUUUUUCUGAAAUAACUUUGAAAUCUUAAUGAAGCAAUCUCUUCUCGUGUUUUGUUUAUGUUUUGUUCAUUUGCCAUCAUACAACAUGUCAGAAACAUCCCAUAAACGUGACGUAGAAUUAAUGGUUUCUUCAUCUUACCUUCUAAGUGCAUUCCAUUCUUUUUCAGUGCCACAUUGAUGAUAAUGUGUUGGCCUAAAAUGAGACUUGGACUCAUUGGUAUUGAUUUCUGUGGGGACAUAAUCAUUUAAAAUGGGAAUGAGAAAAGCUAAACAUGUGCAGACAUGACAUACUUAAUUUUCAUAAAGUUGCAGUUCUGUGCCAAUAGAGUUAAUGUGCCAUGCUAUGAGAGAGGCUGUUCUCACAAGAAUUUAGUAGAAUUUUGUAUGAAAAUGUAAAAACCUCCAAAGCUAAUAUGCCUUUUGGGGUUCCUUGUAGUUUUUGUGCCUCAUCCGCAUAACUCCAAACAACUAUGAAUUAAUGUAAUUAUAUAAAUAUUUUUUCCCCCUAAUUGUUGCUCCAAAACAUAGCAGAGUAUGCCCACCGCAUGUUUGUGCAUUAUUGAGUCUACUAUGUGGAUUUGAGCAGGUAGCUUGUUAGACUGUUCAUUGUGGUAUGAUUCACAAAGUAACUCACAAUGCAAUAUUAUCAUAAUAUGGUAUGAUAUUAACAGUACAAUAAUAACAUUUUAGUGUUUUACAGUCAAAAACAAGCAUGAUGCAUCCUUGCUUCCUUUGAGGAAGGAAAAGAAAUCACACGACCAGUCUUAACCUGUAUAGUUUUUACAAACUGUAAGAUCCUUGUCAAAAAUAACUGGCCACCUACUUCUACUAUUAGUUUCUGGUACUGAUGGCCAGUGCAUUUGGUGUGAAGGACAGGAUGAAGACUAUUGUCAAUAUUGGAAUGCAACGCACACCACGCCAAGAUCUUCCUCCCAUCCCCCUCGCCUGAAACCACCGUCCACUAAGAUGCGAAGGGCCCCUCCUCCACCCAUGAAGAACCUUAUCUGCAAAUCUGACUCAUAGCUGCGGGGUCUUUUCCAGAAUAAGUCAGACCCCUAUGGAGAUCAGGCAUUUUUGAUCCCUGUAAUUACAAGGGACAGAAAGUUGGUCAAAGAAAUAUGGCACAAAAAAAGUAGAACUACAAAUUUAGUGAGGAUAAAAUGUGAAUCUAUCACACCAUUGUCCUCAGUUAUCUCUUCGAGACUAGUUCUUUUCAAUAUCAGGUCACUGGGUAAUUAAUUAAUGUUGAUUAAUGACAACCUAUGAUCUGGACUUUUUGUUACUAAAUGAAACGUGGUUAACAGAAAGUAUCUGUAAAACCAUUUUAAAUGAGGCAACACCACCAAAUGUUUAUUUUAUGAACAAGUGUCGAAUAGGGAAAAAAGGCGGUGGUAUUGCUGUUAUUUUUAAGGCAUUAUUUCAGUGUAAAGAAAUUAUACUUGGUGAUUUUAGCUCUUUUGAAUAUCUCUGUUUUUUUAGUUAAAGGUGACCCAAAGGUUAUUGUUUUAAUAAUUUAUAGGCCUCCAAGAAAGAAUUGAAAAUGUAUGGAGGACUUUUCCUUAACUGCUGUCAGUUAUUUUAUUUUGUCAUAAUGGGAGACUUUAACAUUCAUGUUGACAAUAACAUGGAAAAAGAAUCUAAAGAACUCUCUGCUAUACUAGACACAUUUGACCUCUCUUAACAUAUUAAGAGUCCAACCCACACUCAAGGUCACAUCACUGACCUGGUCAUCUCCAAGGAUGUUGAAAUUCUAUCAAUUGACAUUAAGGAUAUGACUAUUUCUGACCAUUUUUGUGUAUUUUUGAAUUACAGAUUCUUCCAAAUUUUCAGACAACCUCUAUGUCUAUUAAGAAAAGCUACCUAAAUGAGAGUACUGCCACUAAGUUUAUGGAGACCAUUGCUGUGCCACAAACUGUGAAUGCUGAGACAGUUGAUGAACUUUUGGAUAAUUUCACCUGUAAAAUCUCAAAUGUCAUGAAUGUUGUCGCUCCUAUUAAAACUAAGACAAUCUCUAGGUGACCUAGAACACCGUGGAGGAGCACAAUGAUGGUAAAGACCUCUAAAUCAAAGUGUAGGAAAGCAGAACGUAAGUGGAGAAAAACUAAACUCUAAAUUGACUAUGACCUAUACAGACAAAGUCUUUGUAAUUUUAACCAAGAGUUAGUCAAGGCUAGACAGCAACACUUUUCUGAAAUCAUCAGUAAGAACUUCAACAAUACUCACGCUCUGUUUGCUGUGGUUGACAAGCUCACAACCCCCCGAAUCAGAUAGCUCCAGAACUCCUAACAGCAGAUAAAUGCAAUGAAUUUGCUUGUUAUUUUAGUGAAAAAAUACAAUCCAUCAGGUUAAAUAUUUGCACAAAUCAGCAAAAUGAUAAAUGAUACUACAUCUGAAGCCACCCAGGAAAAACUCCAUUACCAUGUCAGAAUUUGAUACAGUUGACCAAAAAACAGUUGAGAAAACGGUUCAGCAGUUGAAACCAUCAACGAGCUGUCUUGACUCAAUACCUUCUGACUUUUUCCAAAGCUAUUGCGAAGUCUGUGCUAGCUGAUUUGCAGCAAAUAAUCAAUUGCUCACUUCAGUCAGACGAGUUUCCUAAAGCUCUUAAAGUAGCUGCUAUUAAGCCUCUGGUAAAAAAUAGAACGCUGGACGCUUCCAUGUUAGCAAGCUAUAGACCCAUCUUAAAUCUUCCUUUCAUAGCCAAGAUUAUUGAAAGUUAUUUUUAAUCAACUCAGUAAUUUCUUGAACUUUAAUGGACUUUUUUACAAAUUUCAAUCAGGUUUCCAAACUCAUCACAGUACAGAAUCUGCUCUUAUCAAAGUGCUAAAUGAUAUAAGGUUGAAUACUGACUCAGGAAAGGUGUCAAUUGUGGUCUUCUUGGACCUCAGUGCGGCCUUUGAUACGGUAGAUCAUAAUUUACUGCUGAACAGGUUGGAAACGUGGGUAGGACUGCCUCACAGUUCUAAGGACCGGGGUUCAAUCCCCCACCCCGCCUGUGUGGCGUUUGCAUGUUCUCUCCGUGCCUUGGUGGGUUUUCUCCGGGCACUCCGGUUUCCUCCCACAUUCCAAAAAACAGGCACGGUAGGUUAAUUGAAGACUCUAAAUUGUCCGUAGGUGUGAAUGUGAAUGGUUGUUUGUUUCUAUGUGCCCUGCGAUUGGUUGGCGACCAGCUCAGGGUGUACCCCGCCUCCUGCCCGAAGAUAGCUGGGAUAGGCUCCAGCAACCUGCAACCCUAGUGAGGAUAAGCGGUAAAGAAAAUGGAUGGAUGGAUGAGAUGGAAGUAUUCAAUCUCAUCAAAUGGCAAUGACCUAUGGGGUUCCUCAAGGGUCAGUUCUUUGACCCCUCCAGUUCAGCCUGUAUAUGCUACCCUUGGGUCAAAUUCUUCAGAACUUUAAUUUUGACUAUCAUAGCUAUGCAGAUGACACACAGUUAUAUCUAGCAGUGUCUCCAGAAGACUACUGUUCAAUUAAGGUGUUGUGUCACUGUCUAAAACAGAUAAAUAAUUGGAUGAGCCAACAUUUUCUUCAAUUAAACCACAAUAAAACUGAGAUAAUUGUUUUUGGCAAUAAAGAAAAGAGGAUUGGUGUUAGUAAAUACCUAGAGUCACUCUCUUUAAAAUCCAAAGACCAAGUCCGAAACCUUGGUGUUCUGAUAGAUUCCGACCUGACUUUCAACAGUCAUAUCAAAUCAAUUACGAAAACUGCCUUCUCCCAUCUGAAGAACAUGUCCAGAGUGAAGAUUUCCAUUUGUCAAGCAGACCAGGAGAAGCUCAUCUAUGCUUUUAUCUCAUGUAGACUUGACUAUUGUAAUGGUCUUCUGACUGGACUCCCUAAAAAGAGCAUUAAACAGCUGCAGCUCAUUUCGAAUGCUGCAGCUCGGGUCUGACCAGAACAAAGAGGUCAGCGCAUAUUACUCCAUAUUACUCAAAUUCUUUACACUGGCUUCCAGUCAGCUUUAGAAUACAUUUUAAAGUUCUGCUACUGGUCUAUAAAUCACUAAACGGUUUAGGUCCUGAAUACAUGAAUGAAAUGCUAAUGGUAUAUAAACCCAGUAGGGCUCUGAGAUAGACAGACUCAGGUCAAAUAGUGGAGCAAAGAGUCCAUAGCAAACAUGAUGAAGCAGCAUUUAGCUAUUAUGCUGCACACAAAUGGAAUAACUUAUUUUUUCCCAUGCAUUUCCACUUUUAAAUUAUAUUUCUUGCACUGUACGCUGUUUUAAUUGUAUUUUUAUUUUGUUUUAAAUGUUUAGAAGCUUUUUUCCCCUUUGUUUUGAAUUUUUUUUAAUCAUGUAAAGCACAUUCAGUUACCUUGUAUAUGAAAUGCGCUUUAUAAAUAAAUUUGCUUUGCUUUGCUAUAAUACCAAGUGGGCCCAAACUUAAGAUUUGAAAAUUGACAAUGAGUCAUAUCUUGCAUAGCAGUUUACCAAUUACCUCUCUGUUUGUUUCCUUCUACUUUUACCUUCUUUUCACAUUUGUUCUAAACUUGACACUCCACUAAAAUCUUUUGAGAACAGAUUGUCCCAUAGCACGCCACAAGAAGCUUCUAUUUAUCUCAUACUGUAUGUAAAAGUGCUCUGUUGUGAAUCAGCUUUUUCGUUUUCAUACGUGCAAUGUGCGUGGCUUUGUGAAUCUUGCAGCGAUGGUAUUUACUCGGACCCGUCCUGAAAAGAUAACUGAGCACUUUUCACAUCAAAUGACUUGUUUCACCGCGACCCUUGUGAGGAUAAGCGGCUCAGAAAAUGGAUGGAUGGAUGUAUGACUUGUUUCACUUUCCCUAAACUAGCCACCCCACUCUCCCUUCUGGAGACGGACAUCUCUGCACGCUGUUCUUUGUGUCCUUGUAUUUCAUCUUAAGGUACUGUUUACUGAGUUGUGACAUGCUUCUCAAAACCCUUAAAUGUAACCCUUUCUAUGCUGAAAAUUUUUCAUUUUCUAUUGUACAUUUCUGCUUUCCUCACUGUUGAUGCUUAUUAAGCGGCUGUAUGUUUUUGUUCACUUUCAAAUGUGUUUUUUUAAUGAAAAUAUUGACUUGAUUGGUCAGCAAUAUGAAUUGAUCAAAUAAAAUAUGACUUAGCCAUA